GUCAGCAUAGUUUAAUAAAACAUUAGGCCGUGGCCCUAAAAAUAGAAGUUUAACCCUUCUUGAAGACC
rnacentral:tRNA from 1 species